rnacentral:rRNA from 1 species
GAUGAACGCUGGCGGCGUGCCUAAUACAUGCAAGUCGAGCGAACAGACGAGGAGCUUGCUCCUCUGACGUUAGCGGCGGACGGGUGAGUAACACGUGGAUAACCUACCUAUAAGACUGGGAUAACUUCGGGAAACCGGAGCUAAUACCGGAUAAUAUAUUGAACCGCAUGGUUCAAUAGUGAAAGACGGUUUUGCUGUCACUUAUAGAUGGAUCCGCGCCGCAUUAGCUAGUUGGUAAGGUAACGGCUUACCAAGGCGAUGAUGCGUAGCCGACCUGAGAGGGUGAUCGGCCACACUGGAACUGAGACACGGUCCAGACUCCUACGGGAGGCAGCAGUAGGGAAUCUUCCGCAAUGGGCGAAAGCCUGACGGAGCAACGCCGCGUGAGUGAUGAAGGUCUUCGGAUCGUAAAACUCUGUUAUUAGGGAAGAACAAAUGUGUAAGUAACUAUGCACGUCUUGACGGUACCUAAUCAGAAAGCCACGGCUAACUACGUG